rnacentral:rRNA from 1 species
UACAGAGGUCCCAAGCGUUGUUCGGAUUCACUGGGCGUAAAGGGUGCGUAGGCGGUCGGGUAAGUCUGACGUGAAAUCUCCGGGCCUAACCCGGAAACUGCGUCGGAUACUAUCCGGCUAGAGGAUUGGAAGGGAGACUGGAAUACUUGGUGUAGCAGUGAAAUGCGUAGAUAUCAAGUGGAACACCAGUGGCGAAGGCGAGUCUCUGGACAAUUCCUGACGCUGAGGCACGAAAGCCAGGGGAGCAAACGGG